rnacentral:rRNA from 1 species
AGAAUUGACGGGACCGCACAAGCGGUGGAUGAUGUGGUUAAUUCGAUGCAACGCGAAAACCUUACCACCUUGACAUGUACGGAAUCCUUUAGAGAUAGAGGAGUGCUCGAAAGAGAGCCGUAACACAGGUGCUGCAUGGCUGUCGUCAGCUCGUGUCGUGAGAUGUUGGGUUAAGUCCCGCAACGAGCGCAACCCUUGUCAUUAGUUGCUACAUUCAGUUGGGCACUCUAAUGAGACUGCCGGUGACAAACCGGAGGAAGGUGGGGAUGACGUCAAGUCCUCAUGGCCCUUAUAGGUGGGGCUACACACGUCAUACAAUGGAUGGUACAAAGGGUCGCCAACCCGCGAGGGGGAGCCAAUCCCAUAAAGCCAUUCGUAGUCCGGAUCGCAGUCUGCAACUCGACUGCGUGAAGUCGGAAUCGCUAGUAAUCGCGGAUCAGCCAUGCCGCGGUGAAUACGUUCCCGGGCCUU